rnacentral:tRNA from 1 species
GGGGAUAUAGCUCAGUGGUAGAGCUCAUGCUUGGCAGACAUAAGGCCCUGGGUUCAAUCCCCAGCACCA